rnacentral:tRNA from 1 species
UAGUGGUAAAACCCUAGCCUUCCAAGCUAACGAUG